rnacentral:rRNA from 1 species
UGGGGAAUCUUGCGCAAUGGGCGGAAGCCUGACGCAGCAACGCCGCGUGAGGGAUGACGGCCUUCGGGUUGUAAACCUCUUUCGCGAUCGACGAAGGCUCGUCUUGUUGGCGGGUUGACGGUAGGUCGAGAAGAAGCACCGGCCAACUACGUGCCAGCAGCCGCGGUAAUACGUAGGGUGCGAGCGUUGUCCGGAAUUAUUGGGCGUAAAGAGCUCGUAGGCGGUGUGUCACGUCGGCCGUGAAAACCUGGGGCUUAACUCUGGGCGUGCGGUCGAUACGGGCAUCACUAGAGUUCGGCAGGGGAGAACUGGAAUUCCUGGUGUAGCGGUGAAAUGCGCAGAUAUCAGGAGGAACACCGGUGGCGAAGGCGGGUCUCUGGGCCGAUACUGACGCUGAGGAGCGAAAGCAUGGGUAGCGAACA